rnacentral:rRNA from 1 species
GGAUCCAGACUUUGACUCUGGCUCAGGACGAACGCUGGCGGCGCGCCUAACACAUGCAAGUCGAACGAGAGAUGAAGAGCUUGCUCUUCAAAUCGAGUGGCGAACGGGUGAGUAACGCGUGAGGAACCUGCCUCAAAGAGGGGGACAACAGUUGGAAACGACUGCUAAUACCGCAUAAGCCCACGGCUCGGCAUCGAGCAGAGGGAAAAGGAGCAAUCCGCUUUGAGAUGGCCUCGCGUCCGAUUAGCUAGUUGGUGAGGUAACGGCCCACCAAGGCGACGAUCGGUAGCCGGACUGAGAGGUUGAACGACCAUAUUGGGACUGAGACACGGCCCAGACUCCUACGGGAGGCAGCAGUGGGGAAUAUUGCACAAUGGGGGAAACCCUGAUGCAGCGACGCCGCGUGGUGGAAGAAGGUCUUCGGAUUGUAAACUCCUGUUGUUGAGGAAGAUAAUGACGGUACUCAACAAGGAAGUGACGGCUAACUACGUGCCAGCAGCCGCGGUAAAACGUAGGUCACAAGCGUUGUCCGGAAUUACUGGGUGUAAAGGGAGCGCAGGCGGGAGAACAAGUUGGAGGUGAAAUCCAUGGGCUCAACCCAUGAACUGCUUUCAAAACUGUUUUUCUUGAGUAGUGCAGAGGUAGGCGGAAUUCCCGGUGUAGCGGUGGAAUGCGUAGAUAUCGGGAGGAACACCAGUGGCGAAGGCGGCCUACUGGGCACCAACUGACGCUGAGGCUCGAAAGUGUGGGUAGCAAACAGGAUUAGAUACCCUGGUAGUCCACACCGUAAACGAUGAUUACUAGGUGUUGGAGGAUUGACCCCUUCAGUGCCGCAGUUAACACAAUAAGUAAUCCACCUGGGGAGUACGAAGGCAAGGUUGCAACUCAAAGGAAUUGACGG